GAGGAAGGGCUUAUGGUGGAUACCUAGGCACCCAGAGAUGAGGAAGGGCGUGGUAAGCGAUGAAAUGCUUCGGGGAGUUGAAAAUGAGCAUAGAUCCGAAGAUUCCCAAACAGGUUAACCUUUUUAACUGCUUCUGAAUCCAUGGGCAGGAAAGAGACAACUUGGAAAACUGAAACAUCUUAGUAGCCAGAGAAAUAGAAAGAAAAAGCGAUUCCCGUAGUAGCGGCAAGUGAAAUGGGAGCAGCCUAAACCGUGAAAAUGGGGUUGUGGGAGAGCACAAUAUAAGCUCUGUGUUGCUAGGCGAAGCAGUUGAGUCCUGCACCCUAGAUGGUGAGAGUCCAGUAGCCAAAAGCAUCAUUGGGUUAUUCUCUAACCCGAGUAGCAUGGGGCACAUGGAAUCCCAUGUGAAUCAGAAAGGACCACCUUGCAAGGCUAAAUACUCCUGGGUGACCGAUAGCGAAGUAGUACCGUGAGGGAAAGGUGAAAAGAACCCCCAUCGGGGAGUGAAAUAGAACAUGAAAC
rfam:Picea glauca, whole genome shotgun sequence.